AUACAGACAGCAGAAAUAAUUUAAUCUAACAUGCAUCUUCUAGAUAUCCCUAUCAUGUUCUUAAGGUCUAUAUGUAGCAAAUAAAAUUAUAUUAAAGUAAAAAUAUGAAAAUCACAUCUUUACCUUUGUACAGAUAGUUAUUCACCGUAAUUGAUGAUCGUAGAUAUCUUUUCGAUUUUUUUUUAGCCGCACAAGCAUCCAACCUCUAUAGGUAUAUACGGGAC
rnacentral:lncRNA from 1 species